AUCCAGCUGACGAGUCUCAAAUGAGAUGAAAGACACAUCCUGGAU
rnacentral:hammerhead_ribozyme from 1 species